rnacentral:rRNA from 1 species
AUUGAACGCUGGCGGCAGGCCUAACACAUGCAAGUCGGGCGAGUGGCGGACGGGUGAGUAAUGUAUGGGGAUCUGCCCGAUAGAGGGGGAUAACUACUGGAAACGGUGGCUAAUACCGCAUACUAUAGGAUGAACCCAUAUGGGAUUAGCUAGUAGGUGGGGUAAAGGCUCACCUAGGCGACGAUCUCUAGCUGGUCUGCGAGGAUGAUCAGCCACACUGGGACUGGGACACGGCCCAGACUCCUACGGGAGGCAGCAGUGGGGAAUAUUGCCCAAUGGGCGCAAGCCUGAUGCAGCCAUGCCGCGUGUAUUAAGAAGGCCUUAGGGUUGUAAAGGACUUUCAGCGUGGAGGCGUUACCCGCAGAAGAAGCACCGGCUAACUCCGUGCCAGCAGCCGCGGUAAUAC